AGUUAACGUUGGCGGCGUGCCUAACACAUGCAAGUCGAACGCGUCCUAAGGGCAACUUUAGGAUGAGUGGCGAACGGGUGAGUAUCACGUGGGUAAUCUUCCUUUAAGUGGGGGAAUAAGCUCUCGAAAGGGAGUCUAAUACCGCAUGACAUUCCGGGACACAAGUCCCGUAAUCAAAGCCGCAAGGCGCUUGAAGAUGAGCCUGCGUCCUAUUAGCUAGUUGGUGGGGUAACGGCCUACCAAGGCUCAGAUGGGUAGCCGGCCUGAGAGGGUGAACGGCCACACUGGGACUGAGACACGGCCCAGACUCCUACGGGAGGCAGCAGUGAGGAAUUUUGCGCAAUGGGGGAAACCCUGACGCAGCGACGCCGCGUGGAGGAUGAAGGCCUUCGGGUCGUAAACUCCUGUCAGAGGUGAAGAAUGCCGCAAGGGUUUGACGGUAACCUCAGAGGAAGCCCCGGCUAACUACGUGCCAGCAGCCGCGGUAAAGUCACGUCG
rnacentral:rRNA from 1 species